CCUGGUGAUGAUAGCGGUGGGGCCACACCUCUUCCCAUUCCGAACAGAGAAGUUAAGCCCACAAGCGCCGAAGGUAGUGCGGGGGCAACUCCGUGUGAGAAUAGGUCGUCGCCGGGA
rnacentral:rRNA from 2 species